rnacentral:rRNA from 1 species
AUUGAACGCUGGCGGCAGGCCUAACACAUGCAAGUCGAGCGUGAAAGUCCUUCGGGAUGAGUAAAGCGGCGGACGGGUGAGUAACGCGUAGGAAUCUACCUGAUAGUGGGGGAUAACGUCCCGAAAGGGGCGCUAAUACCGCAUACGUUCUGAGGAAGAAAGCAGGGGAUCGCAAGACCUUGCGAUAUCAGAUGAGUCUGCGUCCGAUUAGCUAGUUGGUGGGGUAAAGGCCUACCAAGGCGACGAUCGGUAACUGGUCUGAGAGGAUGAUCAGUCACACUGGAACUGAGACACGGUCCAGACUCCUACGGGAGGCAGCAGUGGGGAAUAUUGGACAAUGGGGGCAACCCUGAUCCAGCCAUGCCGCGUGUGUGAAGAAGGCCUUCGGGUUGUAAAGCACUUUAAGCGGGGAGGAAGGCUCGGCAGCUAAUACCUGUCGGGAUUGACGUUACCCGCAGAAUAAGCACCGGCAAACUUCGUGCCAGCAGCCGCAGUAA